GUAGUAAUGUCAUAGUCAAUCAGUGUGGAUUCAGAUACGUUAGUAAUGUUAUAGGUCAGAUCAGUUUAGUAAAGUUAUAGUCACAUUCAGUGUUAUAGGUCAGAUCAGUUUAGUAAUGUCAUAGUCACAAUCAGUUUAUUAUAGGUCAGAUGAGUUUAGUAAUGUUAUAGUCAAUCAGUGUUAUAGGUCAGAUCAGUUUAGUAAUGUCACAGUCAUAAUCCGUGUUAUAGGUCAGAUGUAGUUAGUAUGUAAAAGUCAUGAUGUUAUAGGUCAAUCAGUAGUAAUUUUAUAGUCAAUCAGUGUUAUAGGUCAGAUCAUUUUAGUAAUGUUAUAGUCAAUCAGUGUUAUAGGUCAGAUCAGUUUAGUAAUGUCAUAGUCACAAUCAGUGUUUUAGGUCAGAUCAGUUUAGUAAUGUUAUGGUCAAUCAGUGUUAUAGGUCAGAUCAGUUUAGUAAUGUUAUAGUCAAUCAGUGUUAAAGGUGAGAUAAGUUUAGUAAUGUCAUAGUCACAAUCAGUGUUUCAGGUCAGAUCAGUUUAGUAAUGUCAUAGUUACAAUCAGUUU
rnacentral:lncRNA from 1 species